UACGGGGGGGGCAAGCGUUGUCCGGAUUUAUUGGGCGUAAAGAGCGUGUAGGCGGCUUGGUAGGUCCGCUGUGAAAACUCGAGGCUCAACCUCGAGAUGUCGGCGGAAACCACUUGGCUAGAGUCCGGAAGAGGAGAGUGGAAUUCCUGGUGUAGCGGUGAAAUGCGCAGAUAUCAGGAAGAACACCUAUGGCGAAGGCAGCUCUCUGGGACGGUACUGACGCUGAGACGCGAAAGCGUGGGGAGCGAACAGG
rnacentral:rRNA from 1 species